rnacentral:lncRNA from 1 species
UGAGUGUCUGGUCGAACAGAACAAGAGGGGGCGACCAGGGUUUUCUUUUCAAACCCAAUUUCUCACAAAAGCUCAAAAUUGGAAGCCUAAAUCAAGUCUAAAUCAAUUUUCGAGCAUAGAUUCAUGAUCACCUAGUUGAAAGGAUCAUAAGUCCGGAUCGCCAAGCGGACAAGCCGUAGGGAAUACGCGUGGGAAAUGUGUGCUCUAAAGGUAAAGAUGCUCUUUAGACUCCGGAGGAUGAUCAAGCCAUGUCAAGAACCGAACACACCGAACAAAGCUUCCGCAUUUUGUCUGUUUUGUUUUAGUGACAUGUAAACACUUGAAAUUAUGUUUUGAAAGUUUAUCUAGCAUGAUGUAGACUUGAAUGUUAUGAUUAAGUAUGAUCUUAAAACCAUGAAGUUUUUGUAAACUCGAAAAAAUUUUGUACUAAAUGCAUGAUAAUU